rnacentral:tRNA from 1 species
UUUAUUAUAGGAUAAAAUAAAUCCAAGGGGUUGUGAUCUCCUAAAUUCAUCUGAUGAUAGUAAAU